GCAAGUCGAACGAAGUAGCAAUACUUAGUGGCAGACGGGUGAGUAACAUGUAGGUAUCUUCCCUUUGGCCUGGAAUAACACGAGGAAACUUGUGCUAAUACCGGAUAAGUCUUUACAGAGAAAGCUUUAUGCACCAUUGGAUGAGCCUGCACUUGAUUAGUUUGUUGGUGGGGUAAUGGCCUACCAAGACUGUGAUCAAUAGCUGAUUUGAGAGGAUGAUCAGCCACAUUGGGACUGAGACACGGCCCAAACUCCUACGGGAGGCAGCAGUGGGGAAUCUUGCACAAUGGAGGAAACUCUGAUGCAGCGAUGCCGCGUGAGUGAAGAAGGCCCUUGGGUUGUAAAGCUCUUUCGUCGGGGAAGAAAAUGACUGUACCCGAAUAAGAAGGUCCGGCUAACUUCGUGCCAGCAGCCGCGGUAAUACGAAGGGACCUAGCGUAGUUCGGAAUUACUGGGCUUAAAGAGUUCGUAGGUGGUUGAAAAAGUUGGUGGUGAAAUCCCAGAGCUUAACUCUGGAACUGCCAUCAAAACUUUUCAGCUAGAGUUUGAUAGAGGAAAGCAGAAUUUCUAGUGUAGAGGUGAAAUUCGUAGAUAUUAGAAAGAAUACCAAUUGCGAAGGCAGCUUUCUGGAUCAUUACUGACACUGAGGAACGAAAGCAUGGGUAGCGAAGAGGAUUAGAUACCCUCGUAGUCCAUGCCGUAAACGAUGUGUGUUAGACGUUGGAAAUUUAUUUUCAGUGUCGCAGCGAAAGCAAUAAACACACCGCCUGGGGAGUACGACCGCAAGGUUAAAACUCAAAUGAAUUGACGGGGACCCGCACAAGUAGUGGAGCAUGUGGUUUAAUUCGAAGAUACGCGCAGAACCUUACCAACACUUGACAUGUUCGUCGCGACUUUAAGAGAUUAAAGUUUUCGGUUCGGCCGGACGAAACACAGGUGCUGCAUGGCUGUCGUCAGCUCGUGUCGUGAGAUGUUGGGUUAAGUCCCGCACGAGCGCAACCCUCACUUUUAGUUGCCAUCAUUAGU
rnacentral:rRNA from 1 species